rnacentral:rRNA from 1 species
CGCCGGAUGAUACGCCAUGCGGCCAAGAGGGGCAUCCCCUUGUGGCGAAAGCGGAGACGCGGUCGGGGACGGGCAUGCGUGCCAUUAGAUGGUCGGCGGGGUGACGGGCCCACCGAGUCUGCGAUGGCUAGGGGAUCUGAGAGGAGGUCCCCCACACUGGUACUGAGACACGGACCAGACUCCUGCGGGAGGCAGCAGUAGGGGAUAUUGGGCAAUGGGCGGAAGCCUGACCCAGCCAUGCCGCGUGAGGGAAGUAGGCCCUACGGGUCGUGAACCUCUUUUAUUCGGGGACAAGGACGCGGUCGGGAAACCGUGUUUGAGGGUACCGAAGGAAUAAGCGUCGGCUAACUC